UUUCAAAUCAUCAUAACAAACAUUUAUCUUCCCAAAUCUGUGAUUUUGUGUGUUUUUAACAUAAUACUGUACAUUAAUUUUACACAAUUUCAUUUCUUUUUUAUAAAAGGCAUCAAUAUUUUGAUUUUCAAACAUAAGAGUAAACUAGGAUCAGGCUUUAUGUACAAACGUUCAUUAUCGCUGACAUAGUUCAUUGUUGUUUGUUUAAACUCCUUACCAUAUGUUUUAAGUUUUCAUGUGUUUGCUUUUUCGUUCACUAUUGUGUAAAGCUCACUGACCGUACAAAUAAUUUUUCAAUAAAUCUAUUAAUAAAUACCAAUGCAACAAUUAAUAAAUACGAAAAACAUUAGAUACCACUGCUUAUAUAAAACAUCAAUUGAUAAAUAAUAAGAAUCAUUGAUUAAACCUCAUGUCCUACUACAGUGCAUUUUCAGUUCUGUUUUUCAUACAAAAAAACCCUCAUUGAAAUAAGUUUUCAAGUCAUAGAGUUUCAUUGACUUUCAUUUUCAGUUGUAACAACACAGUUUUAAGCAAGGACUAGUUUCUAUGAUUAAGUUAUAGAAUAUAUAAAAAGCUUGAGGUACACUUGUUUACAAAAAUACAUCAAUUAUUUAAACCUUAAACUAAUGAUUAAAUAUCAAUAUGGUGUGUUUUCAUUUUUUGUGUCACAAUUAAAACCCUCUUUGAAAUGUGUUUUCAAGUCAUAGGGAUUUAAGAACCUUCAUUUGAAUUAUAAAUAUAUCUGUAAAAAAAUAUGUAAAAAAUACUUUUUUUACAAAUACAAUAAAGCAAUAAUACAAAGUGAUAAAUCUUUUUCAAUGUUUGUCAAGGGAAAAAAUAGACUCCUUAAAUAAAACAAAAACCUUGACACACAGACUCCUUAAAUAAAACAAAAGCCAAACAAUAAUUCUUUUCUGAAAGGAAAAAAAUGGAACAUUUAUAUUUUAAUCUUACCCUGAUAAUGUUAAA
rnacentral:lncRNA from 1 species